rnacentral:tRNA from 1 species
GAGGAUAUAACUCAAAGACAGAGUGCAUGCCUAGCAUGCACAAGGUCCUGGAUUCAAUCCCCAGUACCUCCA